GAUGAACGCUGGCGGCGUGCCUAAUACAUGCAAGUCGAGCGAACAGACGAGGAGCUUGCUCCUCUGACGUUAGCGGCGGACGGGUGAGUAACACGUGGAUAACCUACCUAUAAGACUGGGAUAACUUCGGGAAACCGGAGCUAAUACCGGAUAAUAUAUUGAACCGCAUGGUUCAAUAGUGAAAGACGGUUUUGCUGUCACUUAUAGAUGGAUCCGCGCCGCAUUAGCUAGUUGGUAAGGUAACGGCUUACCAAGGCGACGAUGCAUAGCCGACCUGAGCGGGUGAUCGGCCACACGGGAAGUGAGACACGGUCCAGACUCCGACGGGAGGCAGCAGUAGGGAAUCUUCCGCAAUGGGCGAAAGCCUGACGGAGCAACGCCGCGUGAGUGAUGAAGGUCUUCGGAUCGUAAAACUCUGUUAUUAGGAAAGAACAAAUGUGUUAGUAACUAUGCACGUCUUGACGGUACCUAAUCAGAAAGCCACGGCUAACUACGUG
rnacentral:rRNA from 1 species